CUCCUGCAAAAAAAGCUCAGCAGUAGAGCAUCUGCUGUGCCUGCAGAAGGGGACCCAGGUUCAACCCCUGGCACAGCUGGAGA